rnacentral:rRNA from 1 species
UCCGUAGGUGAACCUGCGGAAGGACUUU